rnacentral:misc_RNA from 1 species
UAAAAUAAUAACGAGAUAAUUAAAUUGCAAUUAAGAAAGUGAAUCACAAAAGAUAAUCGAUUAAGUGAAGUGCAUAAAGAGGUUAAGAUUGCCUUUUCUUGCCUUUUUCAUUUUUUUUUCGAGUGGAAUAAGGAAGAGGAAGAGAAUAUGAAGUGGAAAGGUGCUUAGGGAGUGGAAUUUAUUUAACGAAGAACAGUGGAAGCAUAAAAUGCUUAAAGAUAUACCGUUAACUGAUGAAUGAAAAAUAAUUGGAGCUUUGGAAAUUGGAAAGGAUGGACCCUGUUUUGAGGCAUAAAAUGCUUAAAAGAACUGCCACUAAUUGGAUAAAAACCGGGCCACCCUAAACAUUUUGGCCGUCAAGUAGAAAUUGAAUGGAAGAAUGGCGGCAAAGGAGGGGAGGUGGGAAAUCAAAAAUCCCGUUACCUAAGCCGCGUAACAAGCAGAGAAUGUCAAUGUAAAUGCAAAUGCAAAUGUUUGCCGUCAUCGAGUCGAGGUCGGAGGUCAAGCCGAAAAUGUUCGGAAUGGCGGGCGUCCAAAAAAAAAACUCAACGUUAAUAAACUCAGAAGAGGGGCGUGGUGUUGGCGGCGGGGUGGGGCAGGCUCGAUUUACAUGAGCAAACAGAAGCGGAGAGAGAGAGCACAUAGCAUGUGAGUCUGGCUCGGGCUCCACUUGCCCAAGUCCCGCUAUUCUCCCGAUGGAAGGAAAUGGAAGGAGUAAUGGAAGUGUUCUGGCACCAUAUUGCGGCCGCUUAUCUGCCAGUGGCAGCUCUCUCCGGUGGCAGCUCUCUGGAAGCAAAUCCGAAUCAAAAACUGGA